UACGAAGGUUGCAAGCGUUACUCGGAAUUACUGGGCGUAAAGCGUGCGUAGGUGGUGAGUUAAGUCUGAUGUGAAAUCCCCGGGCUCAACCUGGGAAUGGCAUUGGAUACUGGCUCGCUAGAGUGCGGUAGAGGGUGGUGGAAUUCCCGGUGUAGCAGUGAAAUGCGCAGAUAUCGGGAGGAACACCAGUAGCGAAGGCGACACUCUGGGCCGGAACUGACGCUGAGGAGCGAAAGCGUGGGGAGCAAACAGG
rnacentral:rRNA from 1 species